rnacentral:rRNA from 1 species
AUGGAAACCGCUUCUUCUCCAGCAUCAGCGGUAAGAGCAGCAGCCCUUGGUUCUGGGGGAGGGCAGCAAGAUGACUCAGAGAUGUCGAAGGUGCGGGAGAUUCCAUUGGUGUCAACCAGCGGGCUCCCCAAUGGCAGGAGGAUUGUAGGCUUGUUGUACGAGUACAGUAAAGUUGAUGAGGUGACGAUUUUGUGUAUGUGCCAUGGUAGCUUCCUAACUCCGGCGGAGUUUGUGGAGCAUGCUGGAGGUGGUCAAGUCGCCAACCCACUGAGAAGCAUCUUCGUCAUGCCCCCGCCUUGGCUUUGA